rnacentral:misc_RNA from 2 species
UGUGGGAGCGGGCUUGCUCGCGAAGAGGGCGUGUCAGGUUAAUCAGCAUUGACUGACCCACCGCCUUCGCGAGCAAGCCCGCUCCCACA